rnacentral:rRNA from 1 species
AGCGUUGUCCGGAAUUAUUGGGCGUAAAGAGCUCGUAGGCGGUUUGUCGCGUCUGCUGUGAAAUCCCGAGGCUCAACCUCGGGUCUGCAGUGGGUACGGGCAGACUAGAGUGCGGUAGGGGAGAUUGGAAUUCCUGGUGUAGCGGUGGAAUGCGCAGAUAUCAGGAGGAACACCGAUGGCGAAGGCAGAUCUCUGGGCCGCUACUGACGCUGAGGAGCGAAAGGGUGGGGAGCAAACAGGCUUAGAUACCCUGGUAGUCCACCCCGUAAACGUUGGGCGCUAGAUGUGGGGACCAUUCCACGGUUUCCGUGUCGUAGCUAACGCAUUAAGCGCCCCGCCUGGGGAGUACGGCCGCAAGGCUAAAACUCAAAGGAAUUGACGGGGGCCCGCACAAGCGGCGGAGCAUGCGGAUUAAUUCGAUGCAACGCGAAGAACCUUACCAAGGCUUGACAUAUACGAGAACGGGCCAGAAAUGGUCAACUCUUUGGACACUCGUAAACAGGUGGUGCAUGGUUGUCGUCAGCUCGUGUCGUGAGAUGUUGGGUUAAGUCCCGCAACGAGCGCAACCCUCGUUCUAUGUUGCCAGCACGUAAUGGUGGGAACUCAUGGGAUACUGCCGGGGUCAACUCGGAGGAAGGUGGGGACGACGUCAAAUCAUCAUGCCCCUUAUGUCUUGGGCUUCACGCAUGCUACAAUGGCCAGUACAAAGGGCUGCAAUACCGUAAGGUGGAGCGAAUCCCAAAAAGCUGGUCCCAGUUCGGAUUGAGGUCUGCAACUCGACCUCAUGAAGUCGGAGUCGCUAGUAAUCGCAGAUCAGCAACGCUGCGGUGAAUACGUUCCCGGGCCU